GGGUCGUUAGCUCAGUUGGUAGAGCAGUUGUAAUUUUUAAAUCAAUGGUCGCAGGUUCGAAUCCUGCACGACCCA
rnacentral:tRNA from 1 species